rnacentral:rRNA from 1 species
UGAAUACGAGAUGCUACGGCGUCGAAGCAGUCUAUGUCAUACUUCCAAGAAAAGCUUGCACUGUCAUAAACAAAUAAUGCCUGUACCAUAACCGACACAGGUGGGUAGGUAGAGUAUACUAAGGGGCGCGAGAUAACUCUCUCUAAGGAACUCGGCAAAAUGACUCCGUAACUUCGGGAGAAGGAGUGCCUUAUUUUAUAAGGUUGCAAUAACAAGAUCCAAGCAACUGUUUACCAAAAACACAGGUCUCCGCUAAGUCGUAAGACGAUGUAUGGGGGCUGACGCCUGCCCAGUGCCAGAAGGUUAAAGAAGUUGGUUAGCAUCCGCGAAGCUGAUAACUGAAGCCCUGGUGAACGGCGGCCGUAACAAUAACGGUCCUAAGGUAGCGAAAUUCCUUGUCGGGUAAGUUCCGACCCGCACGAAAGGCGUAAUGAUUUGGAUACUGUCUCAGAGAGGGGCUCGGUGAAAUAGACUUGUCUGUGAAGAUGCGGACUACCUGCACCAGGACAGAAAGACCCUAUGAAGCUUUACCGUAACUUGAAAUUGAAAUUGGACUUUACUUGCGCAGUAUAGGUGGGAGGCGUUGAGAAUAUUCUUGCGGGAAUGUUGGAGCCAUCAGUGAGAUACCACUCUUGUAAUGUUAGAUUUCUAACUUUGUAUCAUUAUCUGGUCAAAGGACAGUUUCAGGCGGGCAGUUGGACUGGGGCGGUCGCCUCCCAAACGGUAACGGAGGCGCACAAAGGUUUCCUCUGAACGGGUAGAAAUCGUAUCUAGAGUGUAAAGGCAUAAGGAAGCUUGACUGUGAGACCUACAAGUCGAGCAGGGACGAAAGUCGGUCUUAGUGAUCUGACGGUGCUGAGUGGAAAGGCCGUCACUCAACGGAUAAAAGUUACUCUAAGGAUAACAGGCUGAUCUCCCACAAGAGUUCACAUCGACGGGGAGGUUUGGCACCUCGAUGUCGGCUCAUCGCAUCCUGGGGCGGUAGUACGUCCCAAGGGUUGGGCUGUUCGCCCAUGAAAGCGGUACGCGAGCUGGGUUCAGAACGUCGUGAGACAGUUCGGUCCAUAUCCGGUGUAGGCGUUAGAAUAUUGAGAGGAGCCUUCUUUAGUACGAGAGGACCGAGAAGGACAUACCUCUGGUGUACCAGUUAUCGUGCCAACGGUAAACGCUGGGUAGCUAUGUAUGGAGUGGAUAACCGCUGAGAGCAUCUAAGUGGGAAGCCCACCUCAAGAUAAG